rnacentral:lncRNA from 1 species
CUUCUGUGUUAUGAUGAAAGUCCUUAGGACUAUUUUAAAUCGAUAAAGAAAGAUUUAUCGUUUAGUCCUUAAAUGAGUUCGUGAUCAAAUGAUAUGCUAUUACUAGGAUGAUAGACAUAUCAAGUAUAGGUCAUUAUGUGCCAUUUAAGUUGGUUGUCCUUUUAACUAAGAAGUGUGGAGAUGCUGGUAUGAUAUGCAGGUGAAAUGUAGGAAUACAUUUCACUGAAUGUGACCAACUUCGGAGUACCUUACUGUCAAGAAUUAUUCCAAAGGGAUAUGGAUAUGAGUGUCCCUCCGACCUGAGAUCACCACGAUGACUUACAAGCAACUUACUAUGCUUUGGUGCUAGACUACCUAAAUUUUUAAUUCAGGUUCGAAAGAUUUUUGGACACAGUCAAGUACUUGUGAAGUUGGUGCAUGAGUCAAGAUGGAAUUGACCAUCCCAAGG